CAACACUGCCACGAUCGAUCCACCAGACAUGAAUUUAUCAUGUUUGCUUAGACCAUGAUAAAUCAAUCUCUAAGCACUCUACCAUCGAUGCUGGUAUUCCACCAGGAUGGGAGAAGGGAAGAUGGUGUUGACGAGAAAGCAGCUUCCGCCAACCUUACUGCACACAAGACGCCACAGGUUUCUCACAACAUUGUCAUGCUGGACCAGAGCUUCUGGUCUCCCCCAGCCAAGGCACAGAGCUGAGAUUACUCUCUGCCCCAACCUGAAGAGCAAUGCAGACACUGAAUUGCCUCAGAUCUGAGGAAAAUGCAGUUUUGGGCACAGCAUCCAAUGAAACCACUCCCCAAAUGGGACCAGAACCUCAAAUAAAUGAUUCAGCUGGUUCAUAAAUGCAGUUCUCUAUCAACAAAAGGCCUAUGUGACUUAAGAAGAACCUGCCUUCAAACACCGCCUAUGAGCGAAGAAUUCAGAGACAAAGCAUGUUGCUCCCUAAAGCAGAGAAGUACAACUCAGCCCAUCCAUAGGUGGCGUGAAUCGUGAGCAGGGGAAAGGCUCGAUUGUGCCUCUGCAGAAGGAGAAAAACGGUAGAGGGGAACUGUUUAAGCAAGAAAGGAUCAGGAUGGAAAGCGGGAUUUGCAACACCUGUUCAUUAGAUAAGCAGUCCUGCACUGGCACUGUUACAGGGGACAUAGUAUCAUUUUUUAUAUGAGCUUUUUAAAAAAGUGUAUUUAGCUGUUUAUGCCCAUCAUGGUGUUAUGUGAAUAGCGCUUGCAGUAUAUGCAGGAGAUGAGAGAUGCACAUAUUUGGGACUGCUGCCACUGUGGGCCUCACUGUCCUUCCCUUUGUUAUACUCAAAUGUCUGCAUCUAAAUCAUUGUUGUCCUGGAGUAAAUGGUGAUGUUGGAAAGGGAUCCCUGCCCCCUCCUCCCGCUGCUAGGUACAUCUGCAGUUUAACUUCCACAGUUUGGCCCUAACUGACUCUGUGACAUGGGGAGGGUUUUUUUUUGUCUUUUAAAUAAAGAAUGAUUGAUAAGAAGUUUCUUUCCAGGAUCCAGUUAGAUGGAUGUUUGCAAUCAAGGAUUUCUUUCACAUGGAAAGAUUUUAAUAGGCUAUUUAGCUGAAAUCACAAGAUAAGUCUUUGAGAGACCGUACCUAUGGGUGACCUUUGUGCAGAAAAAUAAGCACCCACAAAUAAGUCUUUUGUUAUAUUCUGAAGGACUCUGUCAUCAAGGAUGCAAUCGGGAAGGGAGGAGAGGAAGGGGACAUAGUAUCAUAUUUUUAUAUGAGCUUUAAAAAAAAAGGGUAUUUAACUGUGCCUACAGUCACAGGCUAUUGUUCUCCACAGUGAGUCUCAGAUCCACACAGGGAAGAAAUCCCAUUCAUCUUUAUUGAUUUCUUUAGGCCUUCGAGGGCUUUGUGAGAGAGAAGCUGGUGUUAAUGUAGGACAAAACAAAAUAC